rfam:Novosphingobium sp. ST904 contig_10, whole genome shotgun sequence.
GCGGGAUCAAGCAACCUCCCGACCAGGCGUCACCGCCCAAGCGUUGC